AUGAUUGGCCUUUUUUGGAAUUGUAGGGGGGCAGGUAAGAAGGGCAUGUCUACCUGUCUCACUGAUUUGAUUAAUGCCAAUGAGGUGGACUUCAUUGGGUUACAGGAAACUAUGAAGAGUAGUUAUACUCCUUCUUUUUUUAGAAAAUUGGAUCCACACCAAAGAUUUAUGUGGGAAUGGAAUCCUUCUAGGGGGAAAUCUGGGGGCAUCCUUUGUGGGGUCAAUAGGGAUAAGUUUGACAUCAUAGAAGUGAAGCAUGGGAGGUACAUUUUGCAAGUUAAUCUCCUUGAUAAGAGCAAAAGUUGCAGUUGGGCCCUGCUGGUAGUUUAUGGGGCAGCUCAGGAUGAGAACAAACCGGAGUUUAUAGCAGAGAUGUCAUCUAUGUGCCACAAAACCUCUGUUCCUUAUAUAGUUGGUGGAGAUUUUAACAUCCUUCGUCACAGUGGAUAG
rnacentral:rRNA from 1 species